AUUAACAAGACCUAAUGUCAUGCCAGGGCAUAUCCUCUUUCCUGCACCAAAUGGAAUGAAUUCAAAAUUAGACCCCUUAAAAUCAAUGGAACUAUCGAUGAAUCUUUCAGGAAGGAACUUGUCAGCUUCAAUCCAGAUAUUGGGAUCUCUUCCAAUUGCCCAUAUAUGAACAAAGACCUUAGUUUUGGGAUUAAUGUCAUAUCCAUAGA
rnacentral:misc_RNA from 1 species